rnacentral:rRNA from 1 species
UACGUAGGGCGCAAGCGUUGUCCGGAAUUAUUGGGCGUAAAGAGCUUGUAGGCGGUCUGUCGCGUCUGCUGUGAAAAUCCGGGGCUCAACCCCGGACUUGCAGUGGGUACGGGCAGACUAGAGUGUGGUAGGGGAGACUGGAAUUCCUGGUGUAGCGGUGAAAUGCGCAGAUAUCAGGAGGAACACCGGUGGCGAAGGCGGGUCUCUGGGCCGUAACUGGACGCUGAGGAGCGAAAGCAUGGGGGAGCGAACAGG